rnacentral:rRNA from 1 species
GAGAAGACUACAGGAUUCCCCUAGUAACGGCGAGCGAAGCGGGAAGAGUUCAAAUUUAAAAUCUGAAAGGCUUUGCCUCUCCGAAUUGUAAUUUAAAGAGACGUUAUCUGGUUCCAGUCCGAUGCUCAAGUCCCUUGGAAUAGGGCGUCACAGAGGGUGAGAACCCCGUCUGGGCAUUGGUGCUGGAGCCUCCAUGAGGCGUCCUCUACGAGUCGAGUUGUUUGGGAAUGCAGCUCAAAAUGGGUGGUAAAUUUCAUCUAAGACUAAAUACUGGCAAGAGACCGAUAGCGAACAAGUACCGUGAGGGAAAGAUGAAAAGCACCUUGAAAAGGGAGUUAAAUAGUGCGUGAAAUUGUUAAAAGGGAAACGAUUGAGAUCAGUAUUACUGCGGUCCCUUUAUGGGUAAGCAGUGAGUCAGCAUCAGUUUGGGCUUCCGGAGAGAGGCUAGGGGAAGAUGGAGUCGUCCUUCGGGGCAACUUUUUAUAGACCCUAGCUGGCACGCGGAGCCUGGACUGAGGUGUGCGGCCGUAGUACUCACUAGCCGAGCCUGUUCCCCAGGGGUCAAGACUACAUGUAGGCUUGAACCGCAAGGAGCAGAGGUAAGCAAGUGCAUACGGUUCGAGGAUGCUGACGAAAUGGUCUUAAACGACCCGUCUUGAAACACGGACCAAGGAGUCUAACACAUGUGCGAGUAUUUGGGUGGCAAACCCGAGUGCGUAAUGAAAGUGAUCUGGGUGAGAGCCUUGCCUCCUGGCUUGGUGCAUCAUCGGCCGAACCUUGACGUCUUCAGAUAGGUUUGAGUAAGAGCAUAUUUGUUGGGACCCGAAAGGUAGUGAACUAUGCCUGGAUAGGAUGAAGCCAGAGGAAACUCUGGUGGA